UGGGUCUCUUGUGGUUUGCUCUCUGGUAGGCUCAAGAUGGAGGACGGUGUGGCUUUUUGUGUGACACAGUGCACUUGCAGACCUGCUGAGUAUGUCAUCAAGUCCAGAAGUUGGAGCCACACAGCCCAGUGAAUAAGAGAAGAAUCAUGGGCUCACAAUACAGAUGAUGUAUCAAAUCUUGACAUCCAGAUGACAGUUCAGUUGUCCCUGUCGUCAAAGAAGUUUGACUACCGACAGUUUGCUGCCAUUCCUUCUUCCAAACCCGUAUACGACAUCCAGGUAUUGGCUGCAUGCUGAGCUCCGGGUGUCCCCCCGGGCCUCCUCCCUUCUCCCUGGCUUUUCCUACUGCCUGUCCCUCUCUAGUGUCUCUGUUAAGAGGCAUCAGUGCGUCUGCAUUGUGUCUCAGUGAUUGAUCAGUACUUCCAUCAGCUGUCUUGUUCCACGCAUGGGUUGCAUAUUGGACAGACAAAUAACAUGCCCUUUCUCUCAUGCUCUGGGUUUCCUUCUGCAGUAGUUUGCGUAGAUUUGUGCGAUACAGUUUGUUUCUUCCUGUUUGUGUGGAGGACGAGAGGGGAGGGGAGACGGGUGCUGGAGUGCGAGCAGGGCUUGUAUUGAAGUGGUCUUUUAUUUUUGGGGGUUCAGGUAUCUGUGGUUGUCUGUCGCAAUGUCAGUCUGCACCAUGUGGGAUUCCUGUGCGGUUUAGUUGUUGCUCAGUGACCUCAGUUUGUGCUUGUAUCCUCCCUUUGGUGGGUGUAACUGAAUUGGUAUUGUUGUGUGUAAGUGUACUUGUUAUGUUUGAGACUUCUGCACAU